UUUCCCUGGAAAGCGCCAUUUUGGAAUAUUUGUAAACAAGUCGGUUCAGAAACUUAGCAUGUAAAUCAAGUGGUUGUUGGUCCUCAACAUGGCUCUGCAAACAUUGGACCUGUGUAGGAAAGAGUCGGGGAAGAUAUGGCAGAGAAAACCUGUUCCUUCCACUGAUGAUGGUGUCAUGGUACACAUCACUCACAGUGUGUCCAGUCCACUAGCUCUGCAGUCUAGAAACAUACGCUUCCUCCAUGUGGCCUUUGACACAACAGGAGAUCGCUUCGUGGCAGGAGAUUACCAAGGAAACAUGUUUGUCUUUGAUCUCAGCAGAAACAGGUACUCUCUGGUCCAGCGUACAGGGACUCCAUGUUCCUCACUGGCUUUUACUUUAAAAAGAAGAACAGAGUUUCUGGUCGGGAUGUCUGACUAUUCCCUGAAGUGUUAUGAUAUAGAUACCAAAGAGCUUGUAGCCUGGAUGAAGGGUCAUGAGUCUCCCAUACACACUAUAUCUAUCCAUGCCUCUGGACGUUACGCGCUGACCUCCUCCAACGACACCGCCCAGCUCUGGGACCUGGACACUUUUCAGAGGAAGAGGAAGUUGAACAUCAAGGAGAAUGUUGGGAUUGUUAAGGUGUUUUUCCUUCCACUGAGUAACACCAUCAUGACCUGCUUUAAGGAUGACUCCAUCUUUGCCUGGGAGGCCGACACCCUGAACUGCAAGUACCAGUUGCCUAUUCCCCCUGGGAAUGCUCCACACUAUAAGGCCUUUGCUGCCACUAAGGAUGGCAGACUGCUGGUGGCGGGAGGAAAGUCCAGGUUUCUCCAUGUGUGGACACUGGACACCAGGCGUCUACUGAGGAUAAUACAGCUUCCCGCCAAGGUCACCUCAAUGAAGGAGAUGGAGUUCUUGCCUGAUAAGUUUGAUGCUGGUUCCAGUCAGGUCCUGGGUGUCCUCAGUCAAGACGGCAUCAUGAGGUUCAUCCACAUCCACACCUGUAAACUGCUGUUUGACCUGGGCAGUGUAGGUGACAGAAUCAACACCAUGGCUAUGUCUCCUACUGGACACCACGUGGUCGGAGUGAUGGAGGACGGGAAUCUUAAUAUAUACAGUGUACAGGCACUGACUGCAGAGUUAAAUAAGCCUCCUCCCCCGUUGGUGUCAGUGGUAUCAUCUCAGAAGAAGCAGGAGACAGGGGAUGUCACAUCAUCGUCGCAGGCAGACAUGACCCAGGGGAAACGAGCUUCCAGGUUAAAACGUAAAGCCCGCUUGGCUCAGGGCAGCGAGGUGUCGGCUGUGGAUGUGAAACCAAAGAAAACUAGUCAUGAACAGGUUGGACUACCUGAGGGCCUGAACAUGGAUAAACUGAUGGCUAUAUUGAGGGGCUAUGGAGAGUAUCCAGCUAAAUAUAGGAUGUUUAUCUGGCGUUCCAUCUUGCGGCUACCAGAGAACCACGCAGCGUAUGCCUCCCUAGUAGACAAGGGCACGCACCCGGCGUAUGAAAACAUACAUGAGAAGUUUCCUAUCAAGAGCAGAAAAUUGUUGAGAGUGCUGCAGAGAACCCUGUCGGCGCUCUCUCACUGGUCGGCCAUCUUUGGUGAGAUGGACUACCUGCCUCUCCUGACCUUCCCCUUUGUGAAGCUGUUCCAGAAUAACCAGUUAGUGCUGUUUGAGAUCAUAGCAACUGUCCUAGUAAACUGGUGUCAGCACUGGUUUGAGUUCUUCCCCAACCCUCCCAUCAAUGUUCUGGGGAUGGUGGAGAACGUCCUCGCCUUUCAGGACAAGGAGCUGCUCCAGCAUUUUGUCAAGUACGGCGUCACCUCACAGAUCUAUGCGUGGCCCGUGCUGGAGACGCUUUUCUCUGAAGUACUUACCAAGGAUGAGUGGUUACGACUGUUCGACAACGUGCUCAGUAACCACCCCGCAUUUCUCCUCAUGUGCGUGGUGGCAUACUGCACGGCAUGCAGAGGACCUUUGUUACAGUGUAUAGAGUUUGAUGAUUUUAAGUACUUCUUCCACCACCGUAAUGCCGUGGACAUAGGGGACGUGAUUAAAGAAGCGUAUAGGAUUCAGGAGACCACCCCACCUGACGUCCACCCUGAGAGGAUGCUGGACACGUUCCAGCCACUGACCAGGGGACAGUACCCAGUGUUUAAUAAAUAUCCCAAGUUUAUUGUGGACUAUCAGGUUCAAGAAAGAGAAAGAAUUCGUGAGGAAGAACUGGAGUACCUGCGACAGCGGCAGGUGUCUCUUGAGCUCCAGAAAGAGACUGAGCGUCGUCAGCAGGAGGAGGCUGCAUGGUACAGACAGCAGGAGCUGCUUCUGGAGGCGGAGGAGAAGAGGAGGAAGAUGAUCUCAGAGGAGGAGGAGAAGCUUUAUGAACAGAGGUCAAGGCUUCAGGCCAUGAAUCGUGAAGUAAAGAUGAAGGAAAUGAAGCUGCUUGAUGCCACAAGAAGAAAAUACAUGAAUUAUCAGCAGAAACAGAGGACAUCAGAAAUCAAGAGACUGGAUGAUGAAAUACAGAGAAAGGCUGCUAUGAGGGAGAUGGAAACUCAGCAUGCAGUGCAGGAAGCAGAGAUAAAAAAUCUGGAGUUACAGCUCCAGAAGAAAAUGUUUGAACAGGAAUUAUACAGAGAGCAUGCAGAGACCACCCAAAAACUACGCUCUGAGUAUGACGCCUUCAGGAAACGCCAGGAAAUUGAAGAUAGGGGACAGCACCGUGUUAACCUGGCAGAGCGAGAGAGGGAACAGGAAAUAAGGAGGAGGCUGCAGCAGAAUCUGGCCCAUGCCGAGCAUGUGACUACAGAUGCUGAGACAAGAAAACAGAUGGAAUACAGACAGGAACUGGAUAACCUGGACAGGGAGAUGCAGAAUGUGCAGCUGGCAAAACUACAAAAUGAAAACCGUGACCUGGAGAAAGAAGUCCACAAACUGAUGAAUGAACUGAAAACUAGAAGGGAAGAAGAGGCCAUAGAGACCCUGGAGGAGCUCCAGGCCCAGAGGCGCCAGGCAGAUGUAGCGGCAGAGAGGAGGACACGUCUCCUCAGGGAGGAAUCUGGUCUGGCUGAGGACCACCUGGAACAGCUGGGGAACACGCUGGACCAGUCCUUUGAGCGUCUCCGAGACCUUAGGCAGAGAGCGACAGAUAACAGAGAUCAGUCUUGUCUGAAUGAGGUUUCCACUGGAACUGAUGGUACCACUACAUGUAAGUAACAGAUAACAGAGAUCAGUCUUGUCUGAAUGAGGUUUCCACAGGAACUGAUGGUACCACUACAUUGUCAUUUGACAGAACAGGCCGCACAAGUUUAGAUGAAGGAGAGGCCAUGCUUAUGCAGGAAGUGAGGAGGUUGAGAGAAAAAC
rnacentral:misc_RNA from 1 species